rnacentral:lncRNA from 1 species
GUGCCUCUAACAUGGUCCCUAUUUUUAAGGGUGCACUCAUGGUCCCUUUAAAAUGACUUUUAAUUGAAGGUUACAAAAACAAAAAUUGUUCCAUGGUCCCACAUAACAAAAAAUUAUUUUUUUUAAAGUGAACAUGAGUAAUUACUUUUACGCCCUCCGAUAUAAGACAAAAAUUUCUAAGUGGAGAAGCAUUUUCCUCCUCUCUUUCUCUCUCUUCAAGACUGCAGUUCUUCCUCUUCUUAUUUUAUCUCUCAUUCACCUUCAUUAAACCUUAAAUCUUAGAAAUUCAUUUAUUAUCCUUCUUUAUCUCUAUUUAAUUGCUCCAGAAUCAUUCCUCCUUCAUAUACGCACUUGCGAUUCUCGAAGCAAUUUCUCCUCUCGUCUGAAUUCGCGAUUCAAUCACCUCCAACAUCAAAUUACUAAUUCAUCAAAUUCUUAACCACCAAUAUUGCACCCAUAUGGAAUUGACUGGUUCUAGACUAUCACAACUAUCCAAUCAGGUCAUACUAGUUUCAUGGACACUUGGGAGUGUUUUAUUUAUUCAGUUUGCAGGAGGCUCAAAGUUUUAACCUCUACGUCAGUAUUCCUUUAAUUACCACCAUUGGAGGAUUUAUUUCAAAAGCAUUAACAUCUUGUUCCUUACAUUUAUUUGCAGCUUAUUGUUAUCCCACUCCAGCAACCAUCCUACGGUCUUGAAGGGAGAGAAAUAGAGGAGACAAAUGCUUCUCCAUUUGGGGAUUUUAGGGUAUAAAAGUAGUUACUCAUGUUAUGUGCGACCAUGAAAAAAAAAAUUGUUGAGUCAUUUUUGUUUGUGUAACCUGCAAUUGAAGGUCAUUUUGAAGGGACCAUGGGUGCACCCUUAAAAAUAGGGACCAUAUUAGGGGCACCCCAUAAA